UUAUCCUAUUUUUAUAGGAUAGAGAGACGGCUUCUGAUAGACCCUCGAUAAUGAUGCACAAGACCAAAAAAAAACUCCAGUUUUUUGUUAUUAUAUUGCAUGGCUUAACUAUGCAGUAUUAUUUCAACUAUCUAGUUUUAGUAAUUAGUUCUUAUUAACCUUGAACUACUGCCCUUGAACUGGUGCAUAUAGUUGUCAAACUUGAAUUAAAAAAUUAGUAAAGGAUGG
rnacentral:lncRNA from 1 species